GUCUACGGCCAUACCACCCUGAACGCGCCCGAUCUCGUCUGAUCUCGGAAGCUAAGCAGGGUCGGGCCUGGUUAGCACUUGGAUGGGAGACCGCCUGGGAAUACCGGGUGCUGUAGGCU
rnacentral:rRNA from 1 species